CAAUGUCGGGUUCAUCGAUGUUCGGUUUCAUUUCAAACGGAGGUUCGACCAUCACAAACCCUACCUAUCACAAUNNNNNNUAUUACCUCUUGUAUGACUCCGAUUGAGUAUUGCGCCCCUCUUUGAGUGAAUAAACGUUGCUUUCAAGUCUCUGAUACGCCAAAAAAAUCGCCCUAGCUCCAAAGCUCCCAAUUGAGUGUCCAAGUGGUUACGAAAGUGCAACUUCUGAAAUAUAGGCUAUAUAGACUCUAUUCGGAUCCUACACACCGAAUAUGAGCGUUUCCGGUUGGUAAAAUCCGAAAUGAUGCAAAAUUUUAAAAAUCAAAGCAUUUCGGAUUGUACAGUCCAAAAUCAAGUUUUC
rnacentral:lncRNA from 1 species